GCAUGCGCCUGCGCGGGCCGAGCAGCCCGAGAGGACCGCCCACGCGAAGCGCUAUGGCGCGUGCUCCACCCCCGCGCGCCGCCGGCCCGCCCCAGAGUUCCCCGCGCGCGGUCAUUGACCUCAGGCUCGCGGUAGCUGUUCGUCCUCGCGUACCCGGGCGUGAGAGAGAGAAAGCGCUGGACAAGUGGCGGGACUCGGCCUCGGUGCAGAUAUAAGGAGAAGUCAGCAGUCUACAAAUCAGAAAACUUUCCUUACCAGAACUCAACUGUACUGUCACCCUGCUCUUGAACUUCCAGUCUCCAGAACUUUUGUGAAGCAUUGCUGUAUACAUCAUUCUACUGAAUGAAGACCUGAAUGCCUCAGACACUUCUAGCACCAAGCUUCAUGAUCUUUAAGGUCUUGGAUGAACUGGUAUAGUGAAAAGAAAAUAAGUACGCAGAGGAUCAAGACUCUCAUGGGAAACUACAGACAGCGUGGAUCAAGUCAGGAGACGUGGUCUGCGUCCCAGUGCCGAUGCUUCGCAGCUGGUUUUCGCGGAGAAAGUCUAUUUCCUGCCCCGUAUGCAUCUCAUAGGAUUGCUGGGAAGACCAUACAGAGUCAUGGAUGAGAACUGCCACGUGCUACAGUUAAAAACCAAGGUUCUUUCUACCUCUGCAGCCCCUCUUCCCGGGAGGCUCCUGCCUUGCACCAGCUCCGGGCCUCUGCUACCCGGGCCCCUGCCUGCUCUGUUUUCAACCACAAGCUCACUCCUCAAGCAUCUGUAAAGGACUCUGACAUCAGAUCUGUUUUUCAACUUUCACUCAAGCAGCUGGAACUCAUGCUUCUUCGUGUCCUCCACACCAGUGGUGUUCAGCUUCUCUUCAGUAGUCCUGUGGCUACUCGUCAUCACCUGGAAGUGAACCCCGUAAAACCGUCAGCUUCACCUCCCUUUGUUCCACAAGUCAUCCCUUUCACUGUGAUUCCAGCUCCUCCGCGUCUUCCUUCUCUCCCUGUUCAUCAGCCCCUGCUUCUCUGCGCAUAGAGCCCCUCUUUCUCUUCUCGCCUAGGCUCUUUACUCUCCCACCAGCACCUACGCCUCCCUCAUCCCAGUCCUCCGAGGCCUCCAGCCCUCAGGCCGCCACGGGACCAGUGCAGCCCUUGGUUUGAGGCAGGGCAGAGCGCCAAGUGGAAGAGCACAGGCGUAGAAUUGUUUUAUUGCUCUGACAGUAAACAGCUGCGUAAGUAACUCUGCCCACAUUACGGACCCCUCUGAGCAUCGGCGGUGGGUAUUUUCGGGGGAUGAAGACAUCUACCCACAGGAGAAUUAAGGGAGUUAGUAGGUAAGAAGAGAUGUUCUAAAACAUAUUUUUAUGCCUUUAUCUUUUGCCUCUUCCACAUAUGUGACCUCCCCCUGCGAUCCAGAGGUCCUUCUCUGGAGGGCAAGUGGAUGAAUAGGUAGGCUAGAAUUAUUAGAGUAAAACACAAACGAGAGGCAGGGUGUAGUUUACUUCUAAAACAGGUAACUGAGAUAUAAAACUAAAGGCCUGAAGAAAGUAGGGCCUAGAGAUUAUGCCAAAGUAUACUUUGGAAACAAAACGGGGGAGAACCAGGUACACCUGCCUUCCGUUCCCCACCACAACCAGAAAGGAUCAUGGGGACCACGGAGGAGGAGCCUCAAAGGAAACGGGCAGGGAGGGCGGAGGAGCUGGGUUGUCCCUGUAUGGUCAGCCCCCCACGAUGGCGGCUCCCUUGCUCGCUGUGCGUCCCCUGCCUGACCAGUCCCUGCCUCACCUACCCCUACUCACCUGACUGACCUUCCCUCCUCAGUACGUGGCUGCAUGCUCGCCCCGGCCCAGCUGGGGAUCGCUCAUUAGAUCAGAACGUCCGCACCUUGCCGGCUCCUCAAAGGGGCGGUGAGGGGCGGGCUCGCACGCUGGUGUCCCUGGUAACCGAUGAGCCCCGCUGACGUCAAUUCCCCCUGUAACCGGUGACCUCCCUCUCCCCGUGGCAGUGAAGACGGCCGCUGUCUGCCCCACAGGGUGGGGCGUCACGCCCGGACCUCGCUUCCCACAGCUUGAGACCAAAGAGUUGCUGUGAGGGAACAUGGAAUUGAGGUUGCCUGCAGUUGCAUCGAGGGACCAAACGUAUGGGUGGAUGCUGAGAAACAGUUAGAAUGCUCCUGUAAAGAAAAGUGGCUGGCGGAUAGUGGAUCAUUAAUUACCAGGUCUCUCUGACUGGAUGAAUAUGUCGGGGUAUCAUUAACUUCAGGAAGCUUCUCUCCCCAGGACUACAUCUAAAAACUUGGUCUCUUCAAGUCCUGGAUCAAUAAAAAAGAAGGAAGAAAAUCAUCACACUAUGAGAUUCUUUGCUUCUUCAAGAAGGUUAACAGCUGAGCAUGGCUUUCACUAUCAACCUGUGAUUCGGAAUUCAUUUGAUAUUAGUAUGAGCACUGUUCUAGUCACAACAAUAUAAGACCCACACUCCUUCCCACAGGAGCUUGAAAUCCAGUAAAGAAAUAAAUGUGAUGAAGAUUUUUGUUAAGCAUAACGAACUGAAAUCAAAAGGAGGUUCUUGCUGAUUUCCGCUAAGAGAAUGUAGAAACCUAUGGAAGGCGUCUCAAAAAAGCAGCAAAUGUAACUGGGACUAUCUGAUGGCUGAUCCAAGGACCUCCGCCAAGCAGAGGGGAGUCAUAAAUGUGUCUACUUGGAAUCACAUACGGAAAGUUCCAGAACAUUCAUGCAGCUUUUCAGGUCUUCGCCCCCACUGUCAGUUUGCACCAGCUGCUUCUCAUCACCUAGCCCUGGGGUCCUUCCCAUGAAGCUCGGUCCAACAGAGAAGCCAGCACCCAAAGGAAGUCCAUGUACACACUGAGCAGUGGACAAGAGCCGAGACUUGAAGAGAGUGGUAUUUUCUCCAGAGACACCGGAUAGGAAUAUAACUUGAUCGUCCCACAUGUGGUCCACUCAUCCACGCUGGCUUUGAAUCACACUCAUUCCACGCUGAGCUCUUGUUUCCUCAAGCGCAUUCUAUGGUCUUCCAGUGCAGACAGACGGCAUGCACUUCUGGUGGUUCUACACAGCCUUCUGGUCCAGGGCUGAUUGAAUAUGGCUGUAGGCUAGAGGCCUGACACGGGCUCCACUGGGCUACAAUCAAAGUGUUGGCAGGGCCACGUUCCCCUCUGGAGGCUCUAGGGGAGAAUCUGUUCCCUCGCCUUUUCCAGCUUCCAGAGGCCACCCACAUUCUUUGGCUUGUGGCUCCUUCCUGAAACUGCAGUAACUUCCUUCCUGUAUCUGCUGGAGUAUCCAAGUACAAACAUAUCAAUCUGGGGAAGAGAUGAAAGAGAGGUCACAGAUACACAUUUCCAAAUUCCCACCUCUCACCAGCGGAGGGCGAGUAUUCUUCUGCAGCUCAUGAGAUGACGAUGUACUUGCUGACAGACCCACACAUGGACCAGGGAGUGGGCACGGGGCUGGGGACGAACGUCCGCGGUGCGGAGGGCAGGGGACAAGCGGAGAAACGUCUCUCUCUGGGGAGUAGCGUGAAGAAAUCACAGGGAAAGCUGCCUGGAAAAAAAAACUAAUAAAGGAAUGCUUACAGUAAAA